UCCUUUGCGGGGUUAAUGUUCAACAGCCAAGAAAACGAGAGAAGAGGUCAGGGUAUCCGUUUGGUGAUGAGAGCUCGCGCACGGGUGCCUGGAUGAGUGAAGGAAAUGAAAACUGGAGAAACAGGUCAAAAUAGCAGAAAAGAAAAUUGUCCUGUCUUGGUUCCAGAGUUUAGAACACUCCCGGGUGUCUGCCUCUCUUUUACCAUUGUCUACCCAGCGACCGCCUCCCCGGCUGCCGGCUUCGAUCCAUCUACCGCUGGCAACACACGCUACCGAGUCUGCUUUCAGUUGUGGGUGGAAGGAAUUCUCCAGGCGAAUUCCGAGUGGUUUCACCUGCCUUGUAGAUUUAUUCCAGUUUCGAGUGACUCUUCUGCCUUUUGGAUUUAUUCCCGUUUCGAGUGACUUCUCUGCCUUGUGGAUUUACCCCUGUUUCGUGUGGCUCUCUACCUUUUGGAUUACCCUUUUGCCUGGAAUUUCACCGUGUGGAUUUCGGGAUUUUUGUGAACUAUCUGCCCCACAGACUGUUUUCGAUCUGCCGACCAUCCGUGCUGUUUGCCAGCUCUCAAUACAGGUUGGUCAUGGACUCUUAAGACUGGAUUGUUCCCUGUUUAUCACCUCUGGGUUCUGGCCUCUCGUCGGCCAACAGACUCUGCUUGCUCUCCCCCUGGACCAUCUUAUACCACUGGCCGAGCGCUCGAGCCAUCUUCCCCUUUCAUUCUCCUCUGGACAGUACUCUAGUUUUCCGCUCCGGCGGCUAAGUUUCUGAUGAUUCUCCGCUCUGGCGGGUUGUUUGGGGUUUGUCUGAAGCAUUAAUAAACCUGUAUU